GACGAACGCUGGCGGCGUGCUUAACACAUGCAAGUCGAACGGAAAGGCCCCUUUGGGGGUACUCGAGUGGCGCACGGGUGAGUAACACGUGAGUAACCUGCCCUUGACUUCGGGAUAACUUCAGGAAACUGGGGCUAAUACCGGAUAGGAAUCCUUGCUGCAUGGUGGGGGUUGGAAAGCUUCGGCGGUUUUGGAUGGACUCGCGGCUUAUCAGCUUGUUGGUGGGGUAGUGGCUUACCAAGGCUUUGACGGGUAGCCGGCCUGAGAGGGCGACCGGCCACAUUGGGACUGAGAUACGGCCCAGACUCCUACGGGAGGCAGCAGUGGGGAAUAUUGCACAAUGGGCGGAAGCCGGAUGCAGCAACGCCGCGGGCGGGAUGACGGCCUUCGGGUUGUAAACCGCUUUCAGCAGGGGCGAAGCUUGUGGUGACGGUACCUGCAGAAGAAGCACCGGCUAACUACGUG
rnacentral:rRNA from 1 species